rnacentral:rRNA from 1 species
UACGUAGGGUGCGAGCGUUAAUCGGAAUUACUGGGCGUAAAGCGCACGUAGGCGGCUUCUUAAGUCGGUGGUGAAAUCCUGGAGCUCAACUCCAGAACUGCCUUCGAUACUGAGAAGCUCGAGUCCGGGAGAGGUGAGUGGAACUGCGAGUGUAGAGGUGAAAUUCGUAGAUAUUCGCAAGAACACCAGUGGCGAAGGCGGCUCACUGGCCCGGUACUGACGCUGAGGUGCGAAAGCGUGGGGAGCAAACAGG